rnacentral:rRNA from 1 species
CGGAGCUUGCUCCACCGAAAGAAAAAGAGUGGCGAACGGGUGAGUAACACGUGGGUAACCUGCCCAUCAGAAGGGGAUAACACUUGGAAACAGGUGCUAAUACCGUAUAACACUAUUUUCCGCAUGGAAGAAAGUUGAAAGGCGCUUUUGCGUCACUGAUGGAUGGACCCGCGGUGCAUUAGCUAGUUGGUGAGGUAACGGCUCACCAAGGCAACGAUGCAUAGCCGACCUGAGAGGGUGAUCGGCCACACUGGGACUGAGACACGGCCCAGACUCCUACGGGAGGCAGCAGUAGGGAAUCUUCGGCAAUGGACGAAAGUCUGACCGAGCAACGCCGCGUGAGUGAAGAAGGUUUUCGGAUCGUAAAACUCUGUUGUUAGAGAAGAACAAGGAUGAGAGUAAAAUGUUCAUCCCUUGACGGUAUCUAACCAGAAAGCCACGGCUAACUACGUGCCAGCAGCCGCGGUAAUACGUAGGUGGCAAGCGUUGUCCGGAUUUAUUGGGCGUAAAGCGAGCGCAGGCGGUUUCUUAAGUCUGAUGUGAAAGCCCCCGGCUCAACCGGGGAGGGUCAUUGGAAACUGGGAGACUUGAGUGCAGAAGAGGAGAGUGGAAUUCCAUGUGUAGCGGUGAAAUGCGUAGAUAUAUGGAGGAACACCAGUGGCGAAGGCGGCUCUCUGGUCUGUAACUGACGCUGAGGCUCGAAAGCGUGGGGAGCGAACAGGAUUAGAUACCCUGGUAGUCCACGCCGUAAACGAUGAGUGCUAAGUGUUGGGAGGGUUUCCGCCCUUCCUUGCUGCACCAAAC